rnacentral:lncRNA from 1 species
UCAAACUUAGUACACAUGUUCCCUAUGAUAUGAUCUUUCUAAUUUAAUGCCAAAUUAGAGUUUUUACCCCAAUUUCACGGUCCACUGAACAUGGAUAAUGAUAGUGCGAGUGGGGCAUUCGUGUACUGAGGACACAUUCUUGUUUUUUUUAAAUUGUUAGUGGCUUUGAACUAGCUGUCAGUAACUGAGAGUACUCUCAGAUCAGUUCUUAGCGUCUUUUUGUUGUUGGGAUAUACAAGUACUUGGCCACUUCCACUCUGUGUUUUUGUUAAAUGUAUUUCUAUUUGUAUCCAUCUGAUGAGUUAAGUCUUUUUUAACUGAUUUUUAUAGUUCUUCUUGUGUUGUACUGUUACACCACUGUCCCAGGUUAGGGGAGGGUUGGGAUCCCACAAUCAUGUUCAACUCUGUCACAUCCUUUAUGUAUGUGCCUGCCAAGUCAGGAGCCUGUGAUUUCGUGGUUGUUGUUAGUUGAUGUGUUUUAUAUUUUUUUGUUAAUUUUAAAUUAGGCCAUUAAUUUUUCUCUUUUGAAUUGUUUACAUUUGUCAUUUCAGGGCCUUUUACAGCUGACUAUGCGGUAUGGGCUUUGUUCAGUGUUGAAGGCCAUACCGUGACCUAUAGUUGCUAAUGUCUGUGUCACUUGGUCUCUUGUGGAGAGUUGUCUCAUUGAAAAUCAUACCACAUCUUUUUUAUAUAUACUAACACAUAAUUUAUAAUUGUCCAGAAACUACAACAUGAUAGCAUUAUACCAACCAAAAAUAUUUUCGGUCGUAUAAAAAAUGAAUUAUUGAUUCUUCUUGGUG